GAUCCCCUGUAGAGACCCACUGGCUCUUCAGGUUGUUUCUGCAAGGAUGAUGAUUGUGGUGUUUGCUGCUCCAUAAAGCUAUUUUACAAAACAAGUGGUCUCACCCAUGCAACGCAACCAAAUUAAUUGGAACGAUUGAGACAAACCAAAGCAAAGCCUGAAGUGGAACCCACUGCCAUCAUUUCAAGACCUUUUAUUUCAAGUAACCACGUGGGGAACAUGAUGGUGAUUGCGGCCAGUGUGGAGUGGUUGCCUUCUUCCAACAUGGGCAGAGUGCUGCUGAGCCUGCAGGGCUGAGCCAAAGCUGCUACAGAGACUUCCCAGGCGAUGUCUGAUUGGAAAACUUUGAACAUGGUCUCCUAUCAUGAGUUAUUACUGCUCCUGAAUGUACAGCACUUAGGAAUACAAAUGGUGGUCUCUGCAGCACAUUUAAAUGGGCUGUGUGUUGUCUGUCCUUUCUCACGUUGUGGAAUGUGUUCCUAUGGGUUCCUCUGUUGGAGAAGCGUGACAUCAUUUUUCAGACAGAAUCGGUGAGGCUUUAAGUUCAGAUACCCGACAGAAUCACAGAACUGUGGAAUCUUUGGGGUUAGAAGGGACCUCUGAAGCUCGCCCAGUCCAGCUCACCUGCACUGAACAGCAACAUGCACGGCUAGGCCAGGAAACGUGGUUGAGACUUCACAUCUUCAGGCUUUCUCAAAUGUGAAGAACUUUCUUAAUGCCUAUCGAAAUUUGGGAUUCUUUGUAACCGAAUAAUUCCUGGAGGCUGAGCUGUAAAGAAAACACGGGCUGCUCGAACACAUUCUCCAGAAUUCUAAAAAUGCAAAACAAUUAUUGUUGGCUUCAAAGAGUUACUCAGAGUAAAGAACAGCUUUAUCUACAUCUGAUCUUCAGGGGGGGGGGAAAAAAAAAGCAUAUGGGCCUGGAAACAUCCCAGCCUCUCAGACAGCACUGAUAUUCUCCUAAUGCAGCUACCAGGCCAGGUGUACUUCAGUGUGAGGGCUGUGCGGUGGCCUUCAGCAGGUCUUUUGAAGCUGCCCUCCUGCUGCGUUUUGGUUAUAGGGCAGAGGUUUAUGAGUGUACGGUCGCUAACCACGGAGUGUUCAUACGUUUAAGCUUCAUCACCAAAUCAGGCCAUAGGUGUAUAAAGACGGCCUUCUGAGGAGCAGCGUGGGUU
ensembl:lncRNA